GCAGUGGUGGUUCAAUGGUAGAAUUCUUGCCUUCCAUGCUGGAGACCCAGGUUCGAUUCCUGGCUAAUGCA
rnacentral:tRNA from 1 species